rnacentral:rRNA from 1 species
UACGUAGGGUGCGAGCGUUGCCCGGAUUUAUUGGGCGUAAAGGGCGCGUAGGCGGCCACGCACGUCCGUUGUGAAAUCGCCCGGCUCAACUGGGCGGGGUCGGCGGAUACGGCGUGGCUGGAGCAAGCUAGGGGGCAAUGGAAUUCCCGGUGUAGUGGUGGAAUGCGUAGAUAUCGGGAGGAACACCAGUGGCGAAGGCGGUUGCCUGGAGCUUUGCUGACGCUGAGGCGCGAAAGCAUGGGGAGCAAACAGG